CGCCGACAGCUGGCGGCGUGCCUAAUACAUGCAGUCGAGCGGACGUUUUUGAAGCUUGUUCAAAAACGUUAGCGGCGGACGGGUGAGUAACACGUGGGCAACCUACCUUAUCGACUGGGAUAACUCCGGGAAACCGGGGCUAAUACCGGAUAACAUCUAGCACCUCCUGGUGCCGGAUUAAAAGAGGGCUUCUUGCUCUCACGAUGAGAUGGGCCCGCGGCGCAUUAGCUAGUUGGAGAGGUAACGGCUCCCCAAGGCGACGAUGCGUAGCCGACCUGAGAGGGUGAUCGGCCACACUGGGACUGAGACACGGCCCAGACUCCUACGGGAGGCAGCAGUAGGGAAUCUUCCGCAAUGGACGAAAGUCUGACGGAGCAACGCCGCGUGAGUGAUGAAGGGUUUCGGCUCGUAAAGCUCUGUUAUGAGGGAAGAACACGUACCGUUCGAAUAGGGCGGUACCUUGACGGUACCUCAUCAGAAAGCCACGGCUAACUACGUGCCAGCAGCCGGUUUAAUAU
rnacentral:rRNA from 2 species